UUUUCAGCAUUGUUGGUGCUCUGAGGGUGUCAGCCAGGCCACUCAUGCAGACCAUUGCGGCAGCACUGAAAAUGGAAGAAAGAUGGGAUUCUGCUGUCUUUUGUUUUGGCUGAUGAACAGCACCGAGAUGGAGUGGCUGUGAGUAUAAGCGUGUGUGUGUGUGUGUCUGUGUGUGCGUGUGCACGCACGUGCGUGCAUGCAUGCCUAUGUGUCAUACCCAGGUACUGUCUUCACUUUUUCAACACAAGUCAUUGGUUGGGAGUAGAGGGCACUCUGCAUGGUCGUCUGGAACCAGGGUUUGCCUACAUGAUGGGUCUCCAUUUGCCACCGGCCUUGGACGUCUCCACUGGAUGCUCUGAUUUCACCUGAUAAGUAAAGGGAGAGAGACAGAGCAUGGAGAAUUACACAGAUCUGCAUGGAACAAUGCUGCUUCUCUGCAUGACUAGAGUUUGUUUUCUCUUU
rnacentral:lncRNA from 10 species